GGAAAAGAGGGAAAAAGUCUGUGAUUGGGAUAAAAUGUGGUCAUAAGAAUCAGAAAUGGUAUUUAGAGAAGCAUUUCCAUGUAACUGUAACAGAUAGAGUAACAUGGGUUCACAGCAUAGUUGGUCUCCCUUUUGAGGUCUCAAACUUAUCCACGCUUCAAUGCAAGUACAGCUUGAGAAGAUGGAGAUUGUUGAAGGCAGGUAUCUAGCAGGGUUUGGUUAUUUCUAACUGGUAACGAAGGUCAACGAGUUCCUGUAAAUAUAUAUAUAUAUAUAUAUCUUCUUAUUCUUUUUUGUUUAGUUUGGGUGUCUGGGGAAUUAGGGGGGGGGGGGGGGAGAAGGGGCACUCUAAGUCAAAUUUUGUAUAGGAUACUGAGUCUACUGACAUAGUUGACACUUGUGAGCUGGCAGCUCUGAUAGUUUUGCUAUAUACAAUGUAUGAUGUGCAUUGAACAACCCUUCAUUUUUUAA